rnacentral:rRNA from 1 species
CGUGCCAGCAGCCGCGGUAAUACGUAGGGUGCGAGCGUUAAUCGGAAUUACUGGGCGUAAAGCGUGCGCAGGCGGUUAUGUAAGACAGAUGUGAAAUCCCCGGGCUCAACCUGGGAACUGCAUUUGUGACUGCAUGGCUAGAGUACGGUAGAGGGGGAUGGAAUUCCGCGUAUAGCAGUGAAAUGCGUAGAUAUGCGGAGGAACACCGAUGGCGAAGGCAAUCCCCUGGACCUGUACUGACGCUCAUGCACGAAAGCGUGGGGAGCAAACAGGAUUAGAUACCCUGGUAGUCCACGCCGUAAACGAUGA